CUCCCUCAGAGGGCUGUUGGAGGAGUAGAUGAGGUGCUACAUGCAGGGCCCUGAGAACUGUCCUGUCGCUCAGGAAGCAAGUUUUGCAGGGUGUGGACAAUCGGGCAAGUGACUGCAUGUGACAACAGAGAGAGGGCAUGGUACACGGUGGCAGAUGAGCCCGGGACUGGAGGCAGAUCUGGGUUCCAGUUCGGGCUCUACCAGCAGCACCCAUGUGUCCUUCUGUUCUCUGGGCCUCAAUUUCCUGUUGUAAAAUUCAGAACUUGGAAGAGAACUACAGAAAGGGACAGAGCUGUUUAUGUCAUGAAAAGCAGGCCUGAGCAUUAGAAGACUGAGAAACACCUGGGAGGAUCUUGUUUCAACAGAGCUCAAAGCCGUGGCAAAAGGACGGAGCUCGAAUUGUGCAAUUGAGGAGUUAAGGACACGGGAUCUGGCCGGGCACCAUGGCUCACACCUGUAAUUCCAGCACUUUGGGAGGCCAAGGUGGGCGGAUCACUUGAGUUCAAGAGUUCAAGAUCGGCCUGGGCAACAUGGCCAGGCAACAUGUAAAAAUACAAAAUUUAGCUGGGUGUGGUGGUGGGCGCACCUGUAAUCCCAACUACUUGGGAGGCUGAGAUGGGAGAAUCAUUUGAACCUGGGAGGUGGAGGGUGCAGUGAACUGUGAUUGUACCACUGCACUCCAGCCUGGGUGACAGAGUAAGACCUCGUCAAAAAAAAAAAUCCAAAAAUGUGGGAUCUGUUUAAACCCUGGCUCUGCUCCCUGCUACUCAUUACCCUCAUCUGUGCAGCAGGGGUGAUACCAGCCCUCACCCCUCUGUUUCUGAGAAGUAGAUGAGCGUGUAUGUGCACAGAGACCUGCCUGCAGUGUUGUGAGGACUCACAAAAUGUUGGCUAGAUAUCCUAAUCUUUCUCAUGUUUGUUGGCAAACAAAAACAGGCUGAGAUGGCCCUGUGCCAUUCGUAUAUCUGUGUGUGGAAUAACAGACAGUAUAAAGCUGAAAAGCAGGUCCCUCCCUGGCUAAUUGCAUUUCAGCAGCCGCUGGGAGGCAGUGUGGCGGGGGGCGGGGAGUGAAACUGUGCGGGGAGUCAGGGAGCCUGGGUUUCCUCCUCAGCCAAUGAGGCCAAGGCCAAAUCAGGAUGUCCCUGAGCCCCUGUUUGCCUACCUGUAACGUGGGGAUGACGGUUCCUGCCAGGUACCCACAAGGCUGUUGUGAGGACUGAAUGAGGAAAUGCUCCUUGAAGAUAAAUGACAAUGCCACAGAAGAGCGGAUGCAGCUCCCCUGUGCUGAGUACUCACCUACUGUGUGCUGGGCACAGGGGCAGAGCCACCCACCCCUCCCUGCAGCAGUGCCUGGAAGGCAGGACCAGCAUCCUGAUAGCCAGAGUUGAGACAGAGUUUAAGGGCCUGCCAGGCAUAACUCCCUCGCCAGGCAUAGAAAUAAAGGAACAUCUUGAGUUCUUUCAAGGGAAGUUCCAGGCACCUAGCUAGCCCUGAGAGUAAAUGAACAACAUGAUAAGCAAGAAGGAAAUAAUAGCUUUUCAAAAAAAAUAGCCAAGGAAGUUAGAGUCACAAAAUACUUGGUUCCCUAUUGAAACUUAAGAUAACAUCUUAAUAUAUGUUCCUGAGUUGUUUUUCAGAAACCCAGGCCCCCAGCAAAUGGAAAAUGCCAUCCACUGGCACAGAGACUUCAGUUGGGAGCCGAGGACUGAACUCAGACCACCAUUCUUUGUUCAACAUUUCUUCCUGAGGGGCCUGGAGGAAGUCACACCCACAGGCCAGAGCUCAACAUUCCUUUCUGCUGACCCCAGGCACCAGUCCAUGGCACUCCCUAUGCCUGCAGGAUACCACAUCAAAGCAGAGUUGGGGGAGCAUUUCAGGAGGUUCCUGUGAAAAACCUACAUGCACACACCCCCACGUGCAGCUGCAGACUGCUAUCUAUACACGAAGUUAUGCAUCGCAGAGUCGACUGCAAAAGGCUGGAGCCCACACAGCGUCUAUCAAUAGGGAACGGGUUAAAUCGACCACAAGAUUUCCAUAUGACGAUGGAACACUUUCCAGCCAAGAAAGGAGGAGGAAGUCCUCACUGCUCUGAUACGGAACAGUCACCAAGACAUAUUUUAAGUAAAAAAAAGGCAGCAUGCAUAACCAGGGAAAUGAAAACUAAAACCACAGUGAGUUACAAUUUCACACAGAUCCAUCUACAAAAAAAAAAAAGCUGAUAAUUGCAGGUGUUGGUGAAGAAGUGGAGUGAGGGGAAUGCUCAAACUACUAGUGGGUGUGCGAAUGGUUAUAACCACUUUUUAAAAUUUUGGCAUUAUCUACUGAAGUUGACAAUGUACUUUCCCAAUGGCCUUGCAAAUGCCCUGGAGAAGUUCUUACCCAACCCCCGCCAUUCCCCCCAACACACACCAAAAGAAACAAUUAAGAACAUUUGCACCAGCUCUGUUCCUAGAACCCCAAAACUGAGGCCAGCACUGAGGCCAAGCACAGUGGCUCAUGCCUGUAAUCCCAGCAGGCAUGAGCCACCCUUUGGGAGCCUGAGGCCGGAGGAUUAUUGAGGUUGAGAGUUCAAGACCAGCCUGGGCAACAUAGUGAGACCUUGUCUCUAUAAAAGAAGUUUUAAAAAUUAGCCAGGUGUGAUGGCUCAUGCUUGUAGUCCCAGCUAAUUGGGAGGCUGAGGUAGGAGGAUCGUUUCUUGAGCCCUGGAGGUUGAGGCUGCAGUGAGCCAUGAUUGCACCACUGCACUCCAGCCUGGGCAACAGAAUGAGACCCUGUCUCAAAAAAUAAAAUUAAAUUAGAAAACAAUAAUAAUUAUUAUUAAUAAAUAAAAUAGUCCAAUGAAAAUAAUCAUACUAUCUCCAUGCAAUGGAAUUCUAUACAAGAGUGAAAAUGAACUAACUCCGGACAUGCGUAUCAGUACACUGAACUUCAGAACUAUAAUUAUGGGUGGGACAAAAGCCAGCCAUAGAAAACUAUUCUAUUCAUAAUCCCAAAAAGGUAGUAUACCAUAUUCAAUUAUUAUAUAUAUUUAUGUCUUGUUAUAUAUAAUGUUUAUUACAUUUAUCUUAGUAUAAAAAUAUAGUAUAUUUAUCAUAAUCUAUUAUAAACAAGUAGUAGGAUUAUAAAAAGACAAAAAGGGCAGGAUAAGCGUAAAAUUCAUGAUAGUAUUUAGGGGAAGAGGAGGGUGGGGCUGGAGAGAGGCACAUGGUUUCAAAAGCCCAGCUUCUUUGUCUAAAACAGGGCGUGGGUACCCAUACUGGUCUAUUGUAUUGUGGGUGUCUUUAAAAUGUAUAUAUAUUCUAUAACUACUAUUUUUGUAUCUACUCAAUAUUUAAUUUUAAAAUUUUAAAUGAGGCCUAGAACACUAUAAAAAGUAUGCUACCAUUUGUAUAGAAAAAGUGGACACACACAUCACUCAUGUGCAUAGAUUAAAGUGUCUCUGGAAACUUACACAUGCAACUGGUGAAACUGGUUUCCUCUGGGGAGGAGAACUGGGAGGCUGGGGACAAGGAGGGGCAAUAAAUCAAUUGAAAUUAAAAAUCACAAAAUUUAAGGAGAAGGAGACAAAGAAGGGAAGGAGGAAGAGAAGGGAGGGUGGAGGGGAGAGGCCAAGUCCUGGUCCCAGGAGGGACAGGGAGCAGAAAGAGGAGGACUGGCCAGGCUCUGGCUAUCAAAACCUGUGUGUGCCACAGGCACGAGUGGAGCCAGAAGCCUGCAGUCCUGCCCAGGAAAGCCUGUGUCCUCCGCGCACAACUCAGGCUUAGACCCAGAGAAUGCUCUUUCUUGCACCUGAGGACGGGGCUGGCUUCAAACAGUUGCCCAGGUUGACCCUGGCUCUGCAGUCUUUUGUUUCCAGAGCUUUGCUUCCAAACGAGGCUCCCUUGGGUCUCUUUCCCUGGCCCUGCCUUCUUAUCUCCAACCUUCACCCCACCUGUGAUCCAAGCGAUUCCUUUGAAGUUGCUUCAGAGUCUUCUGAGCCUUCAUCCUUGAUGACUCUGAAAUGUGCGUCUGUGGCACCAAGGUCAGCCAACAGCAAGUAGGCCCUUUUCAUCUCCUUUUAAACCUUCCCCUCAAGGACUCAGUGUCCUUGCUGUAUUGCCUUAUCAAAACCUGCUCACAUAUCCUUUGUUCACACUGGGAUACCGGUCAUUUAAAGGAAAACAGGCCCACUCUAACCAGGGUCACUGCCAAGUCCCUAAGUAUCAUGCCCUUGAGAGGUAAAAGCAUAAAGCACUAAGGGUAGAAUUUUGGGCAACAGCCAGUGGACAAGGACAAAAUGGGUGCAAUAUGCAGGGGUCCCUUCUGCCCCACCGGUAACCAUAACACCUCAGGACACAGGCUGGGGUCUGUAUUCAAAAGUGGGUCCCUCAGACCGGGCACAGUGGCUCACGCCUAUAAUCCCAGCACUUUGGGAAGCCAAGGCCAGCGGAUCCCUUGAGCCCAGGAGUUUGUGACCAGCCUGAGCAACAUGGCGAAACCCCAUCUCUACAAAAAAUACCAAAAUUAGUCUAGUCGGGCAUGGUGGUGCACACACCUAUGGUCCCAGCUAUUUGGGAGGCUGAGGGGGGAGAAUCGCUUGAGCCCCAGGAGGCAGAGAUUGCAGUGAGCUGUGAUCGAGCCACUGCACUCCAGCCUGGGCAACAGAGUGAGACCCUAUCUCAAGAAAACAAAAACAGAAAGUAAAAAAGCAAUCCUCGAGCAAAAGUGGGUCCCUCAGAGCCCAAUGACAGUGAUGAGGAGGAUGAGGUGGGAAAGGUAGUGUUACUCUGAACUAAAAAGGACUGCCCAGUGUGACCCUAUCUCCCAAACAGCCCAUGCAGGGAUCUGGGUGGCACCAUAGUACAGAAGUGGGUGCCAAGAGAGGCCUGGGCUGCACAGCCAGGUGCAUACAUGCCCUGGAGUCCAGGACAGGAUCAGCAGCAAAUCCACUCCAGGGAGCUCUCCCCCCUCACCAUCCUCUCAAUCAGGGUUCCCCAGUUGAAAAGCACCUUGGCAGUUCAUAAUUCUCCCUCUAAAGCCAGAAAGUGCUGUAAAGGAUAACAGAAGCCUGGCUGCACAGUGGAGCUUAAUGGAAGUCAUUCAACAAGCAGGUCUGGAGCAAACAUCAUGGACCAGCAGUACUGUGUGUUGGCACAGAUGUGAAGCAACUAUACUCUGAUACGGCUUGGAUAUGUGUCCCCACCCAAAUCUCAUAUUGAAUUUUAAUUCCCAGUGUUAGAGGAGGGGCCGGGUGGGAGGUGACUGGAUCAUGGGGGCAGAUUUCCCCCUUACUGUUCUCACGAUAGUGAGUUCUCAGAUCUGGUUAUUUUAAAGUGUGUAGCACCUCCCACUUUGCUCCCUUCCUCCUGCUUUGGCCAUGUAAGAUGUGCCUGCUUCGCCUUCCCCUUCCGCCAUGAUUCUAUGUUUCCUGAGGCCUCCCCAGCCAUGCUUCCUAUACAGUCUGCAGAACCGUGAG
rnacentral:lncRNA from 10 species